AGCUUGCUUCAUUUUGCAUUUCGAGAUCUACGUUAUGGACGUGUCAAUCGAGGAAUUCGUUGAUAGACUGGUGAGCGAUGAAGCUUACAAGGACUCCGUGCAUUCCUGUGAAAUUGAAGAGUUAGAUGAAGAGAUGAGAUUACCUGAUUGGUAUGACGAAAAAAAAUUUAAUCAGUAAGUGCUUCAUCUUCUUACUUUUUAAGCCUAAUCAUAUAAAGAUCAUUGUUUACGUAACUCAUUCAUACAUACACUUAUAUAUAUUUAUGUACCCCAGUUAUAAAUUUCAGAUCUCAAACAAAUCAAAAAAAAAAAAAAAAUC